ACCUGUCGUGGGGGAUAACUAACCGAAAGGUUAGCUAAUACCGAUACGUGAGGGAAAGCGGCGCGAUAGGAGCGGCGAUGUCGGAUUAGCUAGUGGUGAGGUAAAGGCUCACCAAGGCGACAUCCGACGGGUCUGAGAGGACGGCCCGCCACACUGGAACUGAGACACGGUCCAGACUCCUACGGGAGGCAGCAGUGGGGAAUUUUGGACAAUGGGGGCAACCCUGAUCCAGCCAUUCCGCGUGAGUGAAGAAGGCCUUCGGGUUGUAAAGCUCUUUCGGCAGGAACGAAUGACGGUACCUGAAGAAGAAGCACCGGCUAACUACGUGCCAGCAGCCGCGGUAAUACGUAGGGUGCGAGCGUUAAUCGGAAUUACUGGGCGUAAAGCGUGCGCAGGCGG
rnacentral:rRNA from 1 species